GGGAAUCGAACCCAGAUCUCUCGCUUGCGAGUGGGAAGCUUACAUAAAGAGAUAUUGUCUCCACAUCGACUGGAUAAAACUGGACAGGAAGAUUAAAGAGCUUCACAAAUUCAAACACAUCACAGUGAGUGAAUAAAUGCCCGAAGACAAAGGCCAAGCAACGUUUAAAUCUACAAGAUGUAGAAUCUUGAAUGAUAGCUCUUCCAUUUAGGUUUAAGUCCCCAUUUAAUAUGCUUCAGAACAUGAUGGAAAUAAAAAUGUGAUUUUUCAUCUUGCAAUUUCAUUUGACAUUGGGAGGUGAGUAUAGGUUACAAGAAGAGUUUUGAGGCCAGGAUGUUGGAUUCGUUUUUUGAAAUAAAGUUUGCUGUUGUGAUGGGAAUAGGCAGCAAACGGCUGGGGCUAGAGGGGGCCCAAAAUGUUCUCCAGUUUGAGCUAAUGGGUUGUUGUGGCCCAAGAGGGGUGCUGCUCUCUGGGGUAUGUCACAGGCCGUGAAGUAAAGUGAAAGUGAGUCUAGCAGUCGAUGAGUUGAAUGAGCAGGAGUUGGAUCCAGUGUCAGGACACACAAACAGACACACACACAGUUCAGCAAAGUGCAGUCAGGAUGUACGUACAGAAUGUGACUCAACUCACCAAAAUAAUAUUUUCAUCUACCGCCCAUGGUAAUUGGAGAAUGCUAGGAUAGGUGGUCUGGAAGCACAAAAUCAAAUGGGAUGAAGUGUCUUCUUCCUAACUAAUUUGUGUAAUCAUUCCUCUUCUUCCAGAUCAACGACAGCCGCAACAGCCAGCAGAUAAAUCCAGUGAUUUAUGCGCUCCUAAUGAUCAUUUGCUGAUGUUGAGGAGAGUUAUUGCAGGCACGGAAGGCAGCAUGAACAUUUUCUAUGGAAAUUAUGUACAAAUAUGUGACCACUCAGGAUUUCACUUGUAAUUUGCUCCACAAACUGCCUUAACUCUCCCCUUCACUGAUUUUUGACCAUUGGGUACAGGUUAUUUCUACCCUUUUGGAUUAUGGAUAAGAUCUCCCUGAGCCUUUUCUUCUUCAGUGUGGACAUUCCUAGCUUCUUCAUCCUCUCCUCGUAAGUCAUUGCUUAUUUCCAACUGUCACAAUAGUCAUCUUUCACUAUACACUCUCCAAGAUUAAAUCAAGCCAUGGUACAGGCUUUUAGGUCACAGAAACCUCCACAAAAAUGUAACCUAUCUGUUAGAUUUUACAAUGGAUGCUGCAGACUACUUGUUCAAUAUAAAAAACGUCUACUUCAUAUUUGCUUUCACCUUCCACCCCUCCAUAACAUUCACAUAGUCCAUCUUCGACUUUUCCCUUCCCUUCCUCAACUUCACCAUUUGCAUCUCGGGGCAUAGAUUAUCAACAGAUAUCUUUUACAAGCCCAUCAAUUCCCACAGUUACCUGGAAUACACCUCCUCCCACC